rnacentral:rRNA from 1 species
AACGAACGCUGGCGGCAGGCUUAACACAUGCAAGUCGAGCGCCCCGCAAGGGGAGCGGCAGACGGGUGAGUAACGCGUGGGAAUCUACCCAUCUCUACGGAAUAACGCAUGGAAACGUGUGCUAAUACCGUAUACGUCCUUCGGGAGAAAGAUUUAUCGGAGAUGGAUGAGCCCGCGUUGGAUGAGCUAGUUGGUGGGGUAAAGGCCUACCAAGGCGACGAUCCAUAGCGGGUCUGAGAGGAUGAUCAGCCACACUGGGACUGAGACACGGCCCAGACUCCUACGGGAGGCAGCAGUGGGGAAUAUUGGACAAUGGGCGCAAGCCUGAUCCAGCCAUGCCGCGUGAGUGAUGAAGGCCCUAGGGUUGUAAAGCUCUUUCACCGGUGAAGAUAAUGACGGUAACCGGAGAAGAAGCCCCGGCUAACUUCGUGCCAGCCGCCGCCGUAAAAC